GCGUGCUUAAUACAUGCAAGUCGAGCGAGAAAGUGGGGGCAACCCCAUGAGUACAGCGGCGAACGGGUGAGUAACACGUAAGCAAUCUACCUCUAAAUCUGGAAUAACUCUGCCAACGCGGGGCUAAUGCCGGAUGUGGUCGCUGGUCCGCAUGGAUCGGCGAUUAAAAAUAACCUCUUCUUGAAAGUUAUUGUUUGGAGAUGAGCUUGCGUACCAUUAGCUAGUUGGUGAGGUAAUGGCUCACCAAGGCUGUGAUGGUUAGCCGGCCUGAGAGGGUGAUCGGCCACAUUGGGACUGAGAUACGGCCCAGACUCCUACGGGAGGCAGCAGUAGGGAAUUUUGCGCAAUGGGCGAAAGCCUGACGCAGCAACGCCGCGUGAGUGAUGAAGUCCUUCGGGAUGUAAAGCUCUGUUGAGUGGGAAGAAAAGUUAUUAGUCUAAUAGACUAGUGAUAUGACGGUACCAUUCGAGUAAGCACCGGCUAACUACGUGCCAGCAGCCGCGGUAAUACGUAGGGUGCAAGCGUUGUUCGGAAUCACUGGGUGUAAAGGGAGCGUAGGCGGGUUUAUAAGUUGGAAGUUUAAUACACGGGCUUAACCCGUGCAGGGCUUUCAAGACUGUAUAUCUUGAGUAUGGGAGAGGGUGAUGGAAUUCCAGGUGUAGCGGUGGAAUGCGUAGAUAUCUGGAAGAACACCAGCUGCGAAGGCGGUCGCCUGGCCCAAUACUGACGCUGAGGCUCGAAAGCUAGGGGAGCAAACAGGAUUAGAUACCCUGGUAGUCCUAGCUGUAAACGAUGGACACUAGACGUUGGGGAAUUAUUUCUUCAGCGUCGUAGCUAACGCGUUAAGUGUCCCACCUGGGAAGUACGCUCGCAAGGGUGAAACUCAAAGGAAUUGACGGGGGCCCGCACAAGCGGUGGAGCAUGUGGUUUAAUUCGAUGCAACGCGAAGAACCUUACCUGGGCUUGACAUGGGGAUGAAAGUUUCCAGAGAUGGAGACCCUUCCGCAAGGAACGUCCUACACAGGUGCUGCAUGGUUGUCGUCAGCUCGUGUCGUGAGAUGUUGGGUUAAGUCCCGCAACGAGCGCAACCCUCGCCCUUAGUUGCCAACAGGUUAAGCUGGGAACUCUAAGGGGACUGCCUAGCAUAACUAGGAGGAAGGUGAGGAUGACGUCAAAUCAUCAUGGCCCUUACGUCCAGGGCUACACACGUGCUACAAUGGCCAGUACAGAGGGCUGCAAGGCUGCGAAGCUAAGCUAAUCCCACAAAACUGGUCUCAGUUCGGAUUGGAGUCUGCAAUUCGACUCCAUGAAGCUGGAAUCGCUAGUAAUCGCGGAUCAGCAUGCCGCGGUGAAUACGUUCCCGGGCCUUGUACACACCGCCCGUCAAGCCAUGAAAGGUGGGAGUACCCGAAGUUACCAGUCUAACCGCAAGGAAGACAGUACCUAAGGUAAGACCACUAAUUGGGGCUAAGUCGGAACAAGGUA
rnacentral:rRNA from 1 species